rnacentral:rRNA from 1 species
CCUACGGGAGGCAGCAGUGGGGAAUAUUGCACAAUGGGGGGAACCCUGAUGCAGCGACGCCGCGUGGGUGAAGGAGUAUUUCGGUAUGUAAAGCCCUAUCAGCAGGGAAGAACAAUGACGGUACCUGACUAAGAAGCACCGGCUAAAUACGUGCCAGCAGCCGCGGUAAUACGUAUGGUGCAAGCGUUAUCCGGAUUUACUGGGGGUAAAGGGAGCGCAGGCGGCGCGUUAAGCCUGGUGUGAAAGUCCGCGGCCCAACCGCGGGACUGCAUUGGGAGCUGGCGCGCUGGAGUGCCGGAGGGGUAGGCGGAAUUCCUAGUGUAGCGGUGAAAUGCGUAGAUAUUAGGAGUAACACCAGUGGCGAAGGCGGCCUACUGGACGGUGACUGACGCUGAGGCUCGAAAGCGUGGGGAGCAAACAGGAUUAGAUACCCUGGUAGUC